rnacentral:rRNA from 1 species
CAGCCGUAAACUAUGCGCGUUAGGUGUAUCGGUGACCACGAGUCACCGAGGUGCCGAAGGGAAACCGUGAAACGUGCCGCCUGGGAAGUACGGUCGCAAGGCUGAAACUUAAAGGAAUUGGCGGGGGAGCACCGCAACGGGAGGAGCGUGCGGUUUAAUUGGAUUCAACGCCGAAAAACUCACCAGCAGCGGAAUGAUUGCCGGGCUGAAGACUCUGCAUGACUAGCUGAGAGGAGGUGCAUGGCGUAGACGUCU